UACGUAGGGGGCGAGCGUUGUCCGGAAUCAUUGGGCGUAAAGCGCGUGUAGGCGGCCCGGUAAGUCCGCUGUGAAAGUCCAGGGCUCAACCCUGGGAUGCGGAUGGAUACUGUCGAGCUCGAGUCCGGAAGAGGCGAGUGGAAUUCCUGGUGUAGCGGUGAAAUGCGCAGAUAUCAGGAGGAACACCAAUGGCGAAGGCAGCUCGCUGGGACGUGACUGACGCUGAGACGCGAAAGCGUGGGGAGCAAACAGG
rnacentral:rRNA from 1 species